UAGGGAAUAUUAGUAAUGGGCGAAAGCCUGAACUAGCAACACCGCGUGUGCGAAGAAGGCCUUCGGGUUGUAAAGCACUUUUUGAGAGGAUGAGGAAGGACGGUACUCUUAGAAUAAGCCUCGGCUAACUACGUGCCAGCAGCCGCGGUAAAACGUAGGAGGCGAGCGUUAUCCGGAUUUACUGGGCGUAAAGCGUGUGUAGGCGGUUUGAUAAGUUGGAUGUGAAAGCUCCUGGCUUAACUGGGAGAGGUCGUUCAAAACUAUCAGACUUGAGAGUGGUAGAGGGAGGUGGAAUUCCGCAUGUAGUGGUGAAAUGCGUAGAUAUGCGGAGGAACACCAGUGGCGAAAGCGGCCUCCUGGCCCAUUUCUGACGCUCAGACACGAAAGCUAAGGUAGCAAACG
rnacentral:rRNA from 1 species